GAAUUAUGUAACGUUGCGUUCAUAACAAAGUGGGAAUUUACCACCAUAGAGUUAGCUAGAGGACUAUAGAUGGGAAAAACUGUUUUGCCAUGGACAUUGCUAUUUAGAGAUUCACCAUUUUAAAGUAGCGAACUGGGUGGGCCUUCCUUGGGUGAAGGAAGGAUCAUAUGAUUCCAUCUGGGUCAUCAGGAAGGAUCAGACAAUGAAUUAUACUUGUGAACAAACAUACCAUAACUAUAGGUGGCAGUAAAACGCCAUCCUUGGCUUUAUACCUGUUCAAACAACACUCUAGUGUCUAGACUCUAGUCUAGAUGGCAGUAUGCACCCUUUCAGUUUGUUGUGCCUGUUUACUCCUCAGGUUGUCAUUCCUUCCUUUCUGCAGAUCCAGCACCAAUCCAGAUCCCGGGUUCCAGUACCAGUCCCAGCACCAGACGAAGCACAGAGGGACCAGACCAGACCUUCACCUGGUGCGAGCGGACCACAGAGCCAGAUCCCGACCCAGAACCUGCAGCAGCCCCAGUUCGCGGGUCCUGUUUUUUCCCAGUCAGUCCCCAGCACCAGACCCAGCACCUCUGGUCUCCAGUCCCGGCCCCAACACCAACACGGUUCCCAGUUUCCAACCCAGACACCAACUGUUACCUACCUCCAUUAAAAUGACACAGACAGACCUGCAACCACUCCACCAGACCAACCACUCCAGAAAAAACUUCGAAACUCAAACAGGCGAAAUCUACUUUCCAACAAACACUAUCAAAUGCUUUUGUAAUGAGGCUUUUUUUCUUUUCAUUUAAUAACUGAUUGAUGUAUUGACUUAGCAUUUAUUGAUUUGAUUGAAUAUCUUGUUUUAAACUUUUUUAACUUGAAUACCAUUUGAAUGAUGUAUGACUUAUGCAUAACCAAAUAAAAUAACCUCUAAUGGUU